rnacentral:lncRNA from 1 species
ACUCUCCCGGCGGCGGCAGCUGCGCCGCCAAAGCCCCGGGCCCCAGCGGCCCCCCACCCCUCACUCGCGCGCUCCCACACUGCCUCCCCCCUCCCCGGGGGAAGGCCUUUUAAUUUAUUUAUUCUGCUGGGACUUAGGUGGGGGGCUUGGCUGGCGGGGGAGGGGGUCUCCCCGGGCUCUACCUCCCGCGGCUGGGGCUACCCUCCGAGCUGCGGCCGCCUCGGCUUGCGCCUCGGACCUCCAAAACUGUUUGCAAACUGACAAGACCCGAGGUCCGGGAGUGGCGGCGGCCAAUCAGCGUGCGGCUUCCAUUUUAGCAGUAAACAGUCCUCAGCGAAGCCGCCUUUUGCCAACCCAACCCUGGAAAGUUUGCAGAAGUGGAAGGAGCAGAAAAUGCCAUGAGAGUGUAACUUUAAAAAGGCUCACGACCGGAGAAGAGGUAUCCCCAACGUUGACCGUCUUUUUUCGGACAGCAGAAACAGGUCCAGUUUGACUCUGACAAUCUUCCCGCUAAGGAAUUCCUGGUGAAUAGAGGAAUGACACCGGUCCUCAGAACAUCUCGCAGGCUGGAGUGAAUGACACAGUUUGCUCAGAGUGGGUGACCCUUCUAAGUGAAAUCUCCCAAGGUUCCUCCAGGUGAGGCAGUCUUACUCUCCCAGCCACUCCCUGAGCUUCGGGGUCCCUGAUGCGGGGCAAGCCUGAGGCAGCCAAAGGGAAGAGGCUUGUGCCUGGCUCAAAGGUAAGUGCUUCCCCCGCUCCCUCCAAGCCCUCUUCCAUCCUCUCCCUCCCUAAGUGAUGCCCCCCCCCUCCGCUCCAGUGGUCCUGAGGAAUCUCACUUCUGACAUGUAUUUGGACCUGUUUCCCUCCUCUUUUGCUAGCUUCCAGCUGCCACUGUGCACCCCAGCCCUGUCCCAGCCUCACCAGCCAAUCACAGCUCCUCCCUGGUCAUGGGAAAAGCUUUGUCUGGGCUCCUCUCCUGUUAAGAGCCUCUGUCCAGCACCCCUCUUGAGCCUGGCAACCAGGCCUCCACGAUCUAACCCUGGUUACUAACUUGACAAUCAUGUCUGGCCUCCCUCACUCCCCAGCCACUGCCAAACCUGAUAUGAUGUCUAGCCACCAUACACUUACCCAGGCUGGGUACCCAUCCUACUUCUGCUGGCCUUUCCUGCCAGCACUGACAAGCUUGGUUCAUGUGCUGCCUGCCUCUCAACCUUCUCUGAACCCUAGAGGCUCUGGUGUCUAAAUUGUUCACAUCUCAGAACGCUUCCCCCAAGACUGAGUUCCUCAGAGGCAGGAACACAAUUCCCUCUCAAUAAACUUGUGCU